rnacentral:rRNA from 1 species
AUUGAACGCUGGCGGCAUGCCUUACACAUGCAAGUCGAACGGCAGCACGGGUGCUUGCACCUGGUGGCGAGUGGCGAACGGGUGGGUAAUAUAUCGGAACAUACCCUAGAGUGGGGGAUAACGUAGCGAAAGUUACGCUAAUACCGCAUACGAACUAAGGUUGAAAGUGGGGGAUCGCAAGACCUCAUGCUCAUGGAGUGGCCGAUAUCUGAUUAGCUAGUUGGUGAGGUAAAGGCUCACCAAGGCGACGAUCAGUAGCUGGUUUGAGAGAACGACCAGCCAGACUGGAACUGAGACACGGUCCAGACUCCUACGGGAGGCAGCAGUGGGGAAUUUUGGACAAUGGGGGCAACCCUGAUCCAGCAAUGCCGCGUGAGUGAAGAAGGCCCUCGGGUUGUAAAGCUCUUUUGUCAGGGAAGAAACGGUCUACUCUAAUACAGUGGGCUAAUGACGGUACCUGAAGAAUAAGCACCGGCUAACUACGUGCCAGCCGCCGCGGUAACAC